GACGAACGCUGGCGGCGUGCUUAACACAUGCAAGUCGAACGGCAAGGCCCUGCUUUUGUGGGGUGCUCGAGUGGCGAACGGGUGAGUAACACGUGAGUAACCUGCCCUUGACUUUGGGAUAACUUCAGGAAACUGGGGCUACUACCGGAUAGGAGCUCCUGCUUCAUGGUGGGGGUUGGAAAGUUUCGGCGGUUGGGGAUGGACUCGCGGCUUAUCAGCUUGUUGGUGGGGUAGUGGCUUACCAAGGCUUUGACGGGUAGCCGGCCUGAGAGGGUGACCGGCCACAUUGGGACUGAGAUACGGCCCAGACUCCUACGGGAGGCAGCAGUGGGGAAUAUUGCACAAUGGGCGGAAGCCUGAUGCAGCAACGCCGCGUGCGGGAUGACGGCCUUCGGGUUGUAAACCGCUGUCGCCUGUGACGAAGCGUGAGUGACGGUAAUGGGUAAAGAAGCACCGGCUAACUACGUG
rnacentral:rRNA from 1 species